rnacentral:tRNA from 1 species
CAGAGCAUAGCUAAAUUAGUAUAGCACCUCUCUUACACUGAGGAGAUAUCCGUUCGAAUCGGAUUGCCCUGA